rnacentral:rRNA from 1 species
AUUGAACGCUGGCGGCAUGCCUUACACAUGCAAGUCGAGCGGCAGCGGGGGAGAAGCUUGCUUUUCCUGCCGGCGAGUGGCGAACGGGUGAGUAAUACAUCGGAACGUGCCCUGUAGUGGGGGAUAACUAGUCGAAAGAUUAGCUAAUACCGCAUACGACCUGAGGGUGAAAGUGGGGGACCGCAAGGCCUCAUGCUAUAGGAGCGGCCGAUGUCUGAUUAGCUAGGUGGUGGGGUAAAGGCCUACCAAGGCGACGAUCAGUAGCUGGUCUGAGAGGACGAUCAGCCACACUGGGACUGAGACACGGCCCAGACUCCUACGGGAGGCAGCAGUGGGGAAUUUUGGAGAAUGGGCGAAAGCCUGAUCCAGCAAUGCCGCGUGUGUGAAGAAGGCCUUCGGGUUGUAAAGCACUUUUGUCCGGAAAGAAAUGGCUCUGGUUAAUACCUGGGGUCGAUGACGGUACCGGAAGAAUAAGGACCGGCUAACUACGUGCCAGCCGCCGCAGUAA